GGUAGGAGUAGCUCAAAAAUCUGUGAAUUCGUUUCUUCUGUCCCUCUCUUGUGAUCUUCUCCGUCUGUAGCGCUGGAGUGAGCUCGUGAUGUCUCCAUUUUAGGACGGAGGAGUGUGCAAGUGUGCUUCUUCUUCUUAGUAUUAUUAUCAUUUCUUUUCUGUUUGCACCCCAGAUAUUUCCUUUUGCUGCAACUGUUGAGCUCCAAAUCUGCCGUGGUUCAUUUCGUCUUUGAUUCCGGAGGGAGAAGGGGAUCUGCCAUUUCUGUGCUCGGUUCACCAAUUUCUUGCUCAAACUACUCCUCUUGAGAUUUUACCGUUCCCCUUUUCAGUUUCUUGGAGCUUCCUAAUCCCUAGUCCUAACUUCGCUUGAGCGCUCGUGAGCUCUUAGUUAGCGGUGUGAAAAUCGCGGCGUCGAGUGUUCUCGUGCAAGAAUCGGUUGCUGCUGCUGCUAGCCAUGGAGGUGAGGUCCGAGCAAGGCUAAUGGCGGGAAGGGAUCUGUUCGGCUUGCCCAAGAGCCAGCCGGCGCCGGCGCCAGCAGCUCCGGCAGCGCCGCCGUCCUCGGCAGCCAUGCAGAGCGUGCGCAUGGCGUACACCGCGGACGGCACACCCGUGUUUGCCCCGGUGAGCUCUGCGGUCGCGCCGCCGGGUUACCAACCGGCAGGGUCUGCAGCACCAGCGCAUGGCUCUAGCAUGUCCGCUGCUCGGGCCGCCGGAGGAAAUGGCGUCGCUGCGCCGCCGGGCAUGGGUGAACCGUCGGCGAAGAAGAAGCGCGGGCGGCCAAGGAAGUACGGGCCCGACGCGGCCAUGUCUCUGGCACUGGUGACUGUGCCGACGGCUGCAGGCUCGACAGGUGUGACACAGGGUGCUUCUGGGCGGCCGUUCUCACCCACGCUGCCGGGAAACUUCGUGCCGUCGGCGUCGCCGGAUGGAGGGAAGAAACGCGGCCGGCCCAAGGGAUCUACCAACAAGCCCCGCGUGGAUGGUGCCGGGCCGGCAGGAGUUGGAUUCACACCUCAUGUUCUUACAGUUCAAGCUGGGGAGGAUGUAUCGUCAAAGAUUAUGUCAUUUUCUCAGAAUGGAACUCGUGCAGUUUGUGUUCUCUCAGCAAAUGGUUCCAUAUCAAAUGUAACACUUCGUCAAACUGGUACAUCAGGUGGAACUGUAACAUAUGAGGGCCGAUUUGAGAUACUGUCACUCUCCGGGUCGAUCUUUGUAACGGACAACGGAGGCCAGCGUACCCGAACAGGGGGCCUCAGCGUUUCGUUGGCUGGUCCUGACGGUCGUCUCUUGGGUGGAGGGGUCGCAGGACUUCUCAUAGCAGCUUCUCCAAUCCAGAUAGUAGUGGGAAGCUUCAAUGCUGGUGGGAAAAAAGAGCCGAAGCCACAGGCUCCUCCUGAGCCCGUACCACUGAAGGUCGUUCCAAGCACUGGGAUGGCGGCCAACAGCCCCCCUUCAAGAGGCACAUUGAGCGAAUCGUCUGGUGGCACCGCAAGCCCAAGACAUCAAGGCUACGCCUCCAACAACAAUAACCAGCCGCCGAUCUUGUCCAGCAUGCCCUGGAAAUAAACUCAGCAUCCUUGACCGAAUUCGGACAUCGAUAGACUGUUGGUGAACUGCCUCCCUGGCAGGAAGUAGAAAUGUCACUUCUGUCUAACUAGCUCCCAUUUAGUCGUAUAAAUCAGAAGUUUAAUUAGGGAGCAUUGUAGCUGGUAUAAGUGGUAACUGCAGCUGCUGUGUAGGUCGUCUCAGCUUGAAUUUCUGUGCCACUUAGUUGUUUAUUGUUGUCUUGAGAUGAUGUAUUUAGGUAUGAUCUUGUGACCCUAUGAGGCGCUAUGGAAUAAUCAUGUUCUUAUGUUCAGUCAAUUUAUGUAAUUUUCAUGUAUGUCCUGCAAAAAUUGUUUUGCCGGCUCACUUACCUGAUUUGUUCAAUGCCCCAAAAGCGAUACAAGAAUUUGACCAAGACGCAAGACAAAACUUGUGCCAAAACAUAAGGUUACAAGCAUAUAUAAGAUCAACACAGCAAUUGGCAUUCUGUGGAACAAACGUUCUUUACAGCAGUAUGCUACGUAUAACCAUUGGCUUCGGCGGGAGGCCACUAUAUUGCAACUCCAAACAUUCUUUACAGCAGUAUUCUAACCAUUGGCUUCGGCAGCCACUAUAUUGCAGUUCCAGUUAG
rnacentral:rRNA from 1 species